GAUGAACGCUAGCGGCAGGCUUAACACAUGCAAGUCGAGGGGUAUAGUUCUUCGGAACUAGAGACCGGCGCACGGGUGCGUAACGCGUAUGCAAUCUACCUUUUACAGAGGGAUAGCCCAGAGAAAUUUGGAUUAAUACCUCAUAGUAUAUAGCCCUGGCAUCAGGAUUAUAUUAAAGUCACAAACGGUAAAAAGAAUGA
rnacentral:rRNA from 1 species